GUCUUUAUGAAUAAAUAUAAGGUUGGGCCUGCCCAAUGAUGUAAUUGAAUGGCUGCGGUAUUUUAACCGUGCAAAGGUAGCAUAAUCAUUAGUUCUUUAAAUGGGAACUGGAAUGAAUGGUUUGACGAAAAAUAAUCUGUCUACGUUAUGAUAAAUUGAAUUUUAUCUUUUGGUUAAAAAGCCUAACUGAUUUUAAGGGACGAGAAGACCCUAUAGAGUUUGUAUGAUGAAUAUAUUUUAGGAGUUGGGCUUGAGUAUUUAUUUACUAUAAUAUAGAAAUUAUAUUUUAUUGGGGAGGUGAGAGAAAAUAUAAAACUUCUUUUUUGAGAAGACUGGGAUGAUAGAACUAAUAUUGAUUAUGAUCUUGUAUUAUGGAAUGAAAGAAUAAAUUACCUUAGGGAUAACAGCGUAAUUUUGUUUGAGAGUUCAAAUCGAUGAUAAAGUUUGCGACCUCGAUGUUGGAUUAAGAUGACUAUUAGGUGUAGAAGUUUAAUUAGUAGGUCUGUUCNACCUUUNAAGNCUUAC
rnacentral:rRNA from 1 species